CUGAACGCCCUCUAAGUCAGAAUCCAUGCCAGAACGCGGAGAUACCACCCGCACGUAUAGAUGGACAAGAAUAGGCUUCGGCUUAGCGUCUUAGCAGGCGAUUCUUCCACGGCGCUCGAAGCGCGUCGUGGUAUUUCGCGUAUUGUAAUUUCAACACGAGCGGGGUCAAAUCCUUUGCAGACGACUUAGCUGUGCGAAACGGUCCUGUAAGCAGUAGAGUAGCCUUGUUGUUACGAUCUGCUGAGGGUAAGCCGUCCUUCGCCUCGAUUUCCCCAAUGGGUUCUCCGGAUUUCUGGAGACUUGUAGGGGUUGUGGGUUUUUUCGAUGUGUCGUCUCCGGACGGGCGGUGCAGGGUAGUCGAGUUAGACUUGGUGGAAUUCGAUUCCGUCGAGUAUGGCUGGCACGAUCGUGUGCGGUUGUGUGUUGGACGGUGCAGGGUAGGCUGCUUGGACAUGGUCGGUUCGAGGAUCGAUUCGAGGGCCGGCCUGUCGAUGAUGUGUGAUGUAUGCGGUCUAGGGUAGGCUGGUUUGUCUUGGUCCAAUUUGAUGUCGGCUCCCGUGCAGGCUAGAGUGAGGGGGGUCCAGGGUAGGUACAGGGUAGGCAGCUUAGAUUUGGUCGAUCUGGAGGUCGAUUCUCCGGCUGGUGGAUCUGACCCUGUCGAAACGAGAUGCGAGCGGUGUAGGGUAGGCUAGUUUCGUCCUCGCCAGGUUGCGAUUUGGACGAGAUAUGUGGUCUAGGGUAGGCUCUAGGGUAAGUAGAAUUCGAGUUUCGUCGCCGACAGUUUUCUGUGGGUGUAUGGUAGGUACAGGGUAGGCAAAACUCUCUCCGGCCAGUACUUGUCUGGUGGUCGUGAGUCGAUUUUUUUGUUUUGCCAUACUAUUGAAUUUUGCGGAAAUUCAAAAGUGGCUCGGGAGUCCCGCCUGGCGUGCGUCCGACUCGAACAUCGUCGGUGUACAUAUGAGAGGGAGUAAUCCGGCCCGGCCGGGGCCCAUCGCGAGCUGCCGGGUAGGUAAAAGUAAAAAAGUUGUUAAGAGGCGCGGUGUCGGCGUGCUUGUAUUUGCGGGAGAGAAUUAUCUGGAGGUGCUGGGUAGCCGGGAAGACUUGGACGGAUCUGGCCCGGGAAUGGGUCUGGGCCUGGAUUCUGGUGUGGUGUAG
rnacentral:misc_RNA from 1 species